rnacentral:misc_RNA from 1 species
CUCAGACCUAGAGAGGUAAUUUAGUAUUUUUGAAAUGAAACUUAAUUUUAUCUCUAAUCUCAUAAAAAUGCCAACAUAAACUAGUUUAGGUACUUAUAUCCUUAGUCAUGGCAACCAUUUUCCUUCUCUUUUUAUGGCUCCAAUUACUCUUGCCUUUUGAAGGCAUACAAAUACCUAUAGAUAUUGUAAUUAUCUUUGAUUUUGAAUUGAUAGUUAGAAUUUGUUAGUCAAACGUUGCUUUCUGAAGGUUCCGUAGUUCACGUCGCCAUGAUUUCUCAUCAGUUUUGGUCAAUGUUACAUUUGGCUCCUGGCAGUUCAUUGGUAACAAAUAUAUCAUCACUAUUGAUUGUCUGAAAUGCUAAGUAUGUUUCAAUUUUUUAUUAGUAUUAUUAUUUUAAUUUUUGAAAAAAGCACUGGAUUGUGAUUUCUCAACCAGUCUGCCCCCAAUAUUAUGUCCAAUCCUCCCAACUCCAGUAUUCUAAAAUCAAAAUUAAACUCAUAGUGCUGUAUUUUCCACCUAAAUUGCUGACAUUUGUGUUCACAACAGUUACUGCACUCGUCAGCUACAGUUACUGCACUCAUCAGCUACGGUUACUGCACUGUAGUAGUAGGAAACUGCACUAAAUCCAACUUUGACUCUUGAGCCACUUUCUUAUCCAAGAAACUAGUAAUACGACCACUAUCAAUCAAGACCACUAGUUGUCUAUUCUUAUGAAUGCCCAACAUCCUUAUAGUUUCUGUCUCAGGACUACCUUCUAAGGCUUGAACAGACAAAGUAGUAUCUUCUAUUUCCCUCAACUCUUCCAUAUGAGCCCCUACAUCAUGCCACUCUAUUAAGGUUGGGAACCCUAAUAGAGAAUUAUAGGAGAAGUAGGGAAAGAAUUAGAAAAGGAAGAGGGAGAGAGAA